UGUUGAGUGUUGCUGUUAUUUAGCUCACUUUAAAUAUAUAAGUUCAUUUCUUAUUAUAUUGGAUUGACUUGGUGUAAUAUUUAACUUUUGUUUCACCAAGGAAAGUUGCAAAGCUUGCCAAUAUUUUCAAGUUAGAACUCCUAAACUAACUUUAUUAAUUUUUUUUUUAAAACCUCAAAUCAGGU
rnacentral:misc_RNA from 1 species